rnacentral:rRNA from 1 species
GACGAACGCUGGCGGCAGGCCUAACACAUGCAAGUCGAGCGGAUGACGGGAGCUUGCUCCUUGAUUCAGCGGCGGACGGGUGAGUAAUGCCUAGGAAUCUGCCUGGUAGUGGGGGACAACGUUUCGAAAGGAACGCUAAUACCGCAUACGUCCUACGGGAGAAAGCAGGGGACCUUCGGGCCUUGCGCUAUCAGAUGAGCCUAGGUCGGAUUAGCUAGUUGGUGAGGUAAUGGCUCACCAAGGCGACGAUCCGUAACUGGUCUGAGAGGAUGAUCAGUCACACUGGAACUGAGACACGGUCCAGACUCCUACGGGAGGCAGCAGUGGGGAAUAUUGGACAAUGGGCGAAAGCCUGAUCCAGCCAUGCCGCGUGUGUGAAGAAGGUCUUCGGAUUGUAAAGCACUUUAAGUUGGGAGGAAGGGCAGUAAGCUAAUACCUUGCUGUUUUGACGUUACCGACAGAAUAAGCACCGGCUAACUCUGUGCCAGCCGCCGCAGUAACAC